rnacentral:ncRNA from 2 species
CCUGCUAUGCGACUAGCAGUAGCCUAAGAAGACAUGCGCCACUGGCAACGGUGGGGUGUGAAGCUCUUCUGACAAUGAAGCCCCCGGACGUUUCGGGCAGGCGAGUGCCGCGAGGUACCCGUCUGGUAAUCCUCAGCAGCAGGGGAUUCGGAGC